rnacentral:lncRNA from 1 species
GGGUCUGCAGUCACACAGCCAACUUGCGCUUGUGGCAGUGGCAAGGUUGGUGAGUAUCUGAGUCUUCAGGCCACGGCAUUUUCCCCUUGAGUGGAGCCUGCCUCAGCCUGUUCCUUUAACAUCAGCUUCUGAAACUAGCUCUGCAGAAGUUCUGAGGGUACCCCUCACUCAAGCUCCAGGCGUCAGGAAAAGAACAUUCCACGAAGUCCAUCUGGAAGACGGUCCUUUCCCUGCUGCCCCCAGCUUCUAGAACAUUCCCUGGAACACAGCAAGUGUUCAGUUAUUGUUCAUGGAGUGACAGAUGUCUCAGCCAAGAAGGUACAAUCACAGGGAAGAAUGACUUCAAUUGGUUUUGACUUCAACCUGCUUCCAGCCUGGUUCCCUUCUCCCACCUCCCUACAGCCCACA